ACCCUCAAUAUUCUUUCCACCCAGACAAUACAAUUCUGCUCUCACUAAAAUUAAAUUUUUUCCCGAGAUGCGUUCUUUUGAUAAAUGGCAUUUUGCGAGGUGUGCUGUAAUAUCAUCGAUGCAGUUAUUUAAUUUUGUAAAUUAUUGUGCCCCUUCCUUGACUUUUCUUUGGGGAAUGUUACCCCCCCCCCCUCCCAAGUGG
rnacentral:lncRNA from 1 species